GAACCAAAGUUGGUAGCAACAAUGAUAAUCCCCAAAAUGCCCUUCUAGUUAAAAGACGCGGUUCUCCUCUCUAUCCGAAGAAAGAAAAUAACAGAACGCAACACAGCCUUUUAAAUUCUCUCGCUCUCUCUCUCGCGGAGGAAAAGUCAGAUUGUGGAGUUAUGAAUUGGGUUCAACGAAAGAUCUAUCUCUACAAUGUCACAUUUGGGCUCUAUAUGUUGGAUUGGUGGGAGCGUUGUCUCUUCAAUACUUUGGUCAUUGUGUUGCUGUGGUUCGUGUUUUUCAAUGUGUCGCGAUAUUUAAUGGAGUUUGGCAAGAGUGUCGUGCCAGGCAUCUACGGUGAGUCAUGGAGGAAGAAUCGACCUGGACUGUUCACUUCCGGUUGACGACUGAACGAUAAUUUGAAUGCAGCGGCUGCACCGUGUAUUAAACUCUGAAUUUAGAUUUGAAUUGUGAAGUGUUGACUUUGUGAGAGCAAUUGUGCUUGUCCUACACCAUUUUUCUCUUGUUUUACUGCUUAAAUUUCACUUAAUAUAGCAGAUAGUUUUACUCCAUGCUGUAUGAGUACGACGGCAUUAUUCGUCUAACAGUCGUUUUGCCCGUUACAUGUUGUGACUCGCUUUGUUUUUCCCCUU